UUCUAGUGAAGCAGCAUAUCAUUCGUGAAAAAAAAACUCAAUUUGUAACUCGUGAAAAAGAAAUUUUAUCUAUGACCAAUCAUCCGUUUAUUGUCAAGUUGUACUUUACAUUUCAAGAUCAAGAUAAUUUAUAUAUCGGUUUAAGUUUAGCCAAAAAAGGUUCGCUGCAGCCAUACAUUGUUAAAUUAGGUGCAUUUGAUGAAGUAUGCACUCGUUUUUAU
rnacentral:lncRNA from 1 species